UCACUCACUCACUCACUCACUCACUCACUCACUCACUCACUCUCUCCUCCGUACUAAAGGAUAUGGCUGUCUUUCUCUCUUUAUCUUCUUCCAGAGGGGUCAUCUCAACUUCUCGCCCUUCGGUGCGGGGGCUGCACUCUAAGGCAUGGCGGGCGCGGGAGCACCCCUCACAUUAGGGACGGGAUAGAAAAACAGAGUGAUAAAUCAAAGACUGCACAGUGGAAACAGAUGAACCCGUGCUACACUCCUAACCUCGACUGAAAUGAUACAUACUUGUCUGAGACAACACCUGCAGCUGUCUAGUACGGUCUGAGAGAGAGAGGGAGAGAGAGAGAGAGAGAGAGAGAGAAGAGAAGAGAAGAGAGAUGUGUGUUUGAUGUGGUUGAUGCCAUUCCAUUGACUCCAUUCCAGCCAUUAUUAUGAGCCAUCCUCCCC
rnacentral:lncRNA from 1 species